rnacentral:tRNA from 1 species
AGGGUUGUAGUUAAUUAUAACAUUUGAUUUGCAUUCAAAAAGUAUCUAUUAGGGUCAAUCUUA